UUCUAAUAUUAAAGCAAAAACACACAUUAGACUUCAUCCAUCCCAUACAUCUAGUUAGUCAUACCGAUAGGCGAGAGAGAUUUGCUACUGCAAUUGUUGUUUUACCCGCUCCUCCCAUCCCAUGGAUCCCUACCAUGUGGACUCCAUCAUCAUCAGAUCCAAUCUUGUGAUAAUAGAGUCACAUGGUCGGUAUCCCUGGAAUGGAGGAUCAGGUAAAACAACUUUUGCUUUAGAAAUGAUUCAUUUCUCAUCACCUUCAUCAGGUGUGGGGCAAAAAAAAUUGGACAGAACAAGCAUUGUUAAGAUUAUGUGGUGUUCAUGUGGUGUCCUGUUCUAUUCUGUUCUGUAUGUGGGAUGAUUUGAUGAUUAUGUGUCCUUCAAAUGAAGAUUGUGUUUACACAAAGUAUAAAGGUGUUGUAAAUCACAAAUGGAGGAAUACCAAUGUGUAAAAUUGUGUUGUUAUGAAAUGAACCUACACAAAGUUAAACUAAUAUGGCGCUUUCAUGAGGAAUAUCAAUGUGUAAAAUUGUGUUGUGCCUUAUGAAAUGAAGCAACGCAAGGUUGACUAAUAUGGUGCUUUCAUGGAGAACUUGGUGGAAAUGAGCACCAAGUUUCACGGACUUUUUCAAACUACAGUUUUUGUGUUUUACAACAUUUCUGCGAAUAUACUUAAACUUUGUUUCUCUUAUUUUGAUGUUUAAAGGGGGCUCCGUCUCCGAUCUGUAUAGGUCUCCCAUCGUGAGAGACUUCUUUUUUGACUUUUGGAAAAUGAACAGAGUCUUUGGAUAAA